rnacentral:rRNA from 1 species
ACUCAAAUGAAUAGACGGGGACCCGCACAAGCGGUGGAGCAUGUGGUUUAAUUCGACGCAACGCGAAGAACCUUACCUGGGUUAAAUCACGGAUGCAAGGGGCAGAGAUGUUCCCCCCUCGCAAGAGGCGUUCGUGAAGGUGCUGCAUGGCUGUCGUCAGCUCGUGUCGUGAGAUGUUGGGUUAAGUCCCGCAACGAGCGCAACCCUUACCACUAGUUGCCAACAGAAGAUGGGAACUCUAGCGGAACUGCCGGUGAUAAACCGGAGGAAGGUGGGGAUGACGUCAAGUCAUCAUGGCCUCUAUGUCCAGGGCUACACACGUGCUACAAUGGCCGGUACAAACCGUCGCAAACUCGCGAGAGGGAGCCAAUCGGAAAAAACCGGUCUCAGUUCGGAUUGGAGUCUGCAACUCGACUCCAUGAAGUUGGAAUCGCUAGUAAUCGCAGAUCAGCACGCUGCGGUGAAUACGUUCCCGGGUCUUGUACACACCGCCCGU